rnacentral:misc_RNA from 1 species
CGAGAAUCACACUAAUAGGAUAUGAUUCCGUAACAUACAAACAGCUUGACAUUAACAAUGGAAUCUCAGGAUUAGCAUCAAGGUGUCCUUUAUCACUAAAUAAAUAAGCUUCCAGCGCCUACUCAGGCAACCCGUAAUCUAAUUAUUUGCAUCCGAUGACCCAGAAAACUACAACAGCAUCAAUUGCCAAGAUGGCCGCAAAAG